rnacentral:rRNA from 1 species
ACCACUCUUGUAUUGCUGGUUUUCUAACCUGCGGCCCUGAAUCGGGUCGGGGGACACUGUUAGGUGGGCAGUUUGACUGGGGCGGUCGCCUCCAAAAGAGUAACGGAGGCGCUCAAAGGUUCGUUCAGCACGGACGGAAAUCGUGCAGUGAGUGUAAACGCAUAAACGAGCCUAACUGCGAGACCGACGGGUCGAGCAGUAACGAAAGUUGGAGUUAGUGAUCCGGUGGUAUGUGAGUGGAAAUGCCAUCGCUCAACGGAUAAAAGCUACCCUGGGGAUAACAGGCUGAUCUCCCCCAAGAGUUCACAUCGACGGGGAGGUUUGGCACCUCGAUGUCGGCUCAUCGCAUCCUGGGGCUGAAGUAGGUCCCAAGGGUUGGGCUGUUCGCCCAUUAAAGCGGUACGCGAGCUGGGUUCAGAACGUCGUGAGACAGUUCGGUCCCUAUCUGUCGUGGGCGCAGGAUAUUUGAGUGGAGCUGUCCCUAGUACGAGAGGACCGGGAUGGACGCACCACUGGUGCACCAGUUGUCGUGCCAACGGCACAGCUGGGCAGCUAAGUGCGGAUCGGAUAAACGCUGAAGGCAUCUAAGCGUGAAACCGGCCACAAGAUAAGAUAUCCCACUAGGUUAACUAGGUAAGACCCCUUGAAGACUACAAGGUAGAUAGGCACGAAGUGAAAGCGUUGUGAGGCGUUUAGCUAGCGUGUACUAAUCGGUCGAGGGCUUGACCAA